UACGUAGGGGGCAAGCGUUGUCCGGAUUUAUUGGGCGUAAAGAGCGUGUAGGCGGCUUUGCAAGUCCGUUGUGAAAACUCGAGGCUCAACCUCGAGACGCCGGUGGAACUGCAAAGCUAGAGUCCGGAAGAGGAGAGGUGGAAUUCCUGGUGUAGCGGUGAAAUGCGCAGAUAUCAGGAAGAACACCCGUGGCGAAGGCGGCCUCUCUGGGAGCGGUACUGACG
rnacentral:rRNA from 1 species